rnacentral:rRNA from 1 species
CAGUCGGACGGGAUUGGAGAGCUUGCUUUCCAUGAGAGUGGCGCACGGGUGCGUAACACGUAUGUAACCUACCUUCGUCAGGGGGAUAGCCUCUCGAAAGAGAGAUUAAGACCGCAUAACAUUGCGAUGCAGCAUUGCAUUGCAAUCAAAUAUUUAUAGGACGAAGAUGGGCAUGCGGAACAUUAGCUAGUUGGUAAGGUAACGGCUUACCAAGGCUACGAUGUUUAGGGGAUCUGAGAGGAUGACCCCCCACACUGGUACUGAGACACGGACCAGACUCCUACGGGAGGCAGCAGUAAGGAAUAUUGGUCAAUGGGCGGAAGCCUGAACCAGCCAUGCCGCGUGCAGGAAGACGGCCCUACGGGUUGUAAACUGCUUUUGCAGGGGAAUAAACCUUCGUAUGUAUACGAAGCUGAAUGUACUCUGAGAAUAAGGAUCGGCUAACUCCGUGCCAGCAGCCGCG